rnacentral:rRNA from 1 species
AACGAACGCUGGCGGCAUGCCUAACACAUGCAAGUCGAACGAGACCUUCGGGUCUAGUGGCGCACGGGUGCGUAACGCGUGGGAACCUGCCCUUAUGUUCGGAAUAACUCCCCGACAGGGGUGCUAAUACCGGAUAAUGUCUUCGGACCAAGGAUUUAUCGCCUUUGGAUGGGCCCGCGUUGGAUUAGCUAGUUGGUAGGGUAAAAGCCUACCAAGGCGACGAUUCAUAGCUGGUCUGAGAGGAUGAUCAGCCACACUGGGACUGAGACACGGCCCAGACUCCUACGGGAGGCAGCAGUGGGGAAUAUUGGACAGUGGGCGAAAGCCUGAUCCAGCAAUGCCGGGUGAGUGAUGAAGGCCUUAGGGUUGUAAAGCGCUUUUACCCGGGAUGAUAAUGACAGUACCGGGAGAAUAAGCUCCGGCUAACUACGUG